CCUCUUACAUGAUACAUGAAGAUCGUCUCUCUUCUCAGUGCGACGGCGAAGCGUGACGUCUGAGAUUCCUUUCGCUGUCUGAAACGGUUCGACUAAUCAAAUCGAACUCUCAUCUUCUUCUUUUAUUUUCUCUUCUCUUCCCUCUAGAGUUUCAGGCAAUUUCUCUUCCGCCUCCCUCCGUCGCCUUAAGAGGUUCUCAGUUUGAUUAAUUUCAAAAUUAUUAUCCCGAAUUGUGUCUGUGCUGGGCAUGUCAAUGUUCUUUCUUCUCGAUCCUGUGAUUUAACCUUUUAGGAUGUUAGUUGGGUUCAGAACAUCAGAUAUUUUGGUUCUAGAUGUCUGGCAACAAAGAUGGAUGAUUGGGGUAAGAUGUAUACAUUAACUAUUCUUUAUAUAUAUAUAUAGAUACCGACUACUUUCGGUUAGUAAUCAGCCCUCUUGGAGCGAGCAGUACGUGUACGAGACGCUCUUUGUGGUGUUAGCUGAGUUUGAAGAGCGAUGCAAGGAGCCGGAACGUGCUAGGUUUAUCUACAAUUUGCUCUUGAUCAUAUUCCUACAAGGAGAGCUUAGGAUUUGUAUAAAAAGUUUGUGGCGUUUGAGAAACAGUAUGGUGAUAAGGAAGGGAUUGAGGAUGCCAUUGCUGGGAAUAGGAGGUUUCAGUAUGAAGAUGAAGUGAGGAAGAACCCUUUGAACUAUGAUUCUUGGUUUGAUUACGUUAUGCUUGAAGAAACUGUGGGGAACAAAGAUAGGAUAAGAGAGAUCUAGGAGAGGGCUAUUGCUAAUAUUCCACCUGUUGAAGAGAAAUGAUACUGGCAAACACACAUCUAUCUCUGGAUUAACUAUGCAUUGUAUGAAGAGAUUAAAACGGAAGAUGUGGAGCGUACACGAGAUGUAUACUGUUUGAAAUCCGGCAAUUGAAUCUCGCCGGUGCUCGGUAGAUAUGAGGAAACACUAUUGGGAAAGGUCCAAAAACUAAGAUAUUCAAGAACUACAUUGAGAUUGAGCUCCAGCUGGGAAACAUAGAUAGAUGUAGAAAGCUUUAUGAGCUUUAUCUUGAGUGGUUUCCAGAGAAUUGCUAUGCUUGGAGCAAAUACGCUGAGCUAGAGAGGUCUCUUGCUGAGACUGAACUAGCUAGAACUAUCUUUGAGCUUGCAAUAUCUCAGCCAGCACUUGACAUGCCCUAACUGCUAUGAAGGCGUUCAUGAUAUCAAAAGGAGAAUCGGAGAGGACACGAGCUUUAUAUGAGCGACUAUUGGACCGCACAAAGCAUUACAAGGUGUGGCGGUGUGGGUUUGGUUUGCAAAGUGUGAAGCUUCUGCUGCGGAACAAGAAGAAGACGAGGAAGAGGAAGACCAAUAAAAAAUAGAUGCUAUUGAACUCAACAAAGAGUGCAUCAGACGUACAGAAAAAUGUAUUAAUGGAUCAGCUGCAAUCACCAAUUUAUAUUAAAAUGAACAGGGGGUGGUGCUUGAUAUUUUUGUAAACGAUGGAGGCUCCAUCAUGGAGAAUCGGGGAUGGUCUCUCAAGUGGUAUAUGGAGCUACACAAUGUCUUUAUAAAUUAAUCCAACUCUCAGAACAGAUUUUUUUUUUCCGAUCUCAACAAUUUUAUCAUGUAUUUUUCUCUGUUUUUCAAUAAAUUUUGAGAGCUCUGCAAAUCUGUCGAGAACACUUAGCAAUUGUAAAGGAGAUUCCUUUUAUUCAUAUUUGAUAUCGUGACAUCA